rnacentral:rRNA from 1 species
CAGACCUCUAAUCGGAAAAGACUACCCGCUGAGUUUAAGCAUAUCACUAAGCGGAGGAGAAGAAACUAACCAGGAUUUCCGUAGUAACGC